rnacentral:rRNA from 1 species
ACGGGGGUUGCGAGCGUUGUCCGGAAUUACUAGGCGUAAAGGGCAGGCAGGCGGAUCUAUAAGUUUUUCGCUUAAGGCGUCAGCUUAACUGGCGUACGGCGGGAGAUACUGUAGAUCUGGAAUGCGGUUGGGGAAGACAGAAUUCCUGGUGUAGCGGUGAAAUGCGCAGAGCCUAGGAGGAAUACCGGAGGCGAAGGCAGCUCUCCAAGCCGUCAUUGACGCUCAACUUCGAAGGUUUGGGUAUCAAACAG